rnacentral:misc_RNA from 1 species
GAUGAAGAACGCAGCGAAAUGCGAUAAGUAAUGUGAAUUGCAGAAUUCAAUGAAUCAUCGAAUCUUUGAACGCACAUUGCGCCCCUUGGUAUUCCGAGGGGCAUGCCUGUUCGAGCGUCAUUAUAACCCCUCAAGCUCAGCUUGGUGUUGGGGCCUGCUGCACUGGCAGCCCUUAAAAUCAGUGGCGGCGCCAUCUGGCUCUAAGCGUAGUAAUUCUUCUCGCUAUGGAGUCCUGGUGGAUGCUUGCCAUCAACCCCCAAUUUUUCUAUGGUUGACCUCGGAUCAGGUAGGGAUACCCGCUGAACUUAAGCAUAUCAAUAAGCGGAGGA